rnacentral:rRNA from 1 species
AAGCUAAGAUCAUUACAGCUUUUUCUUUUUUUGUUUUACGUGAAACCUAAAAAUUUAUAUUUAUAU